UGGGGAAUAUUGGACAAUGGGCGAAAGCCUGAUCCAGCCAUGCCGCGUGAGUGAUGAAGGCCUUAGGGUUGUAAAGCUCUUUCAGCGGGGAAGAUAAUGACGGUACCCGCAGAAGAAGCCCCGGCCAACUUCGUGCCAGCAGCCGCGGUAAUACGAAGGGGGCUAGCGUUGGUCGGAAUUACUGGGCGUAAAGGGCGCGUAGGCGGCGCGGUAAGUCACUUGUGGAAUCUCUGAGCUUAACUCAGAACGGCCAAGUGAUACUGCAGUGCUAGAGUGCAGAAGGGGCAAUCGGAAUUCUUGGUGUAGCGGUGAAAUGCGUAGAUAUCAAGAGGAACACCUGAGGUGAAGACGGGUUGCUGGGCUGACACUGACGCUGAGGCGCGAAAGCCAGGGGAGCAAA
rnacentral:rRNA from 1 species